CUAAGAAUAUUCCGCAAUGGACGGAAGUCUGACGGAGCGACGCCGCGUGGAUGACGAAGGCCGAAAGGUUGUAAAGUUCUUUUGCUGGGGAAGAAUAACCGCAGGAGGGAAUGCCUGUGGGAUGACAAGAACCGGCGAAUAAGCCCCGGCCAACUACGUGCCAGCAGCCGCGGUAACACGUAGGGGGGCGAGCGUUGUUCGGAAUUACUGGGCGUAAAGGGCAUGUAGGCGGCUUGGAAAGCCUGGCGUGAAAGUCUGCAGCUUAACUGCAGGGGUGCGCUGGGAACUGCUGAGCUUGAGUGACGGAGAGGGAGCUGGAAUUCCUGGUGUAGGGGUGAAAUCUGUAGAUAUCAGGAAGAACACCGAUGGCGAAGGCAAGCUCCUGGCCGAUGACUGACGCUGAGGUGCGAAAGUGUGGGGAUCAAACAGGAUUAGAUACCCUGGUAGUCCACACAGUCAACGAUGUGCACUAGGUGCUGGGGCGGUAGCUUCGGUGCCGGAGCGAACGUGGUAAGUGCACCGCCUGGGGAGUAUGCUCGCAAGGGUGAAACUUAAAGG
rnacentral:rRNA from 1 species